AGCUGGAGUUACUAGUGAUCGCAGAUCAGAAUGCUGCGGUGAAUGCGUUCCCGGGUCUUGUACACACCGCCCGUCACACCACGGGAGUUGGAGACGCCCAAAGCCGAUUAUCUAACCUUUUGGAAGAAGUCGUCGAAGGUGGAAUCAAUAACUGGGGUGAAGUCGUAACAAGGUAGCCGUAUCGGAAGGUGCGGCUGGAUCACCUCCUUUCUAAGGAGA
rnacentral:rRNA from 1 species